rnacentral:tRNA from 1 species
GCGCCGUUAGCUCAGUUGGAUAGAGCGAUUCCCUCCUAAGGAAUAGGCCGCAGGUUCAAUUCCCGCACGGCGCACCA